ensembl:misc_RNA Y_RNA Y RNA
GGCUGGUCCCAGCACAAUGGUGUUUACAACUAAUUGAUCACAACAAGUUACAGAUUCCUUUGUUUCUUCUCCACUCCCAGUGCUUCACUCGACUAGUCUUAA